rnacentral:rRNA from 1 species
GACGAACGCUGGCGGCGUGCUUAACACAUGCAAGUCGAACGGAAAGGCCCUGCUUUUGUGGGGUGCUCGAGUGGCGAACGGGUGAGUAACACGUGAGUAACCUGCCCUUGACUUUGGGAUAACUUCAGGAAACUGGGGCUAAUACCGGAUAGGAUCUCCUGCUGCAUGGUGGGGGUUGGAAAGUUUCGGCGGUUGGGGAUGGACUCGCGGCUUAUCAGCUUGUUGGUGGGGUAGUGGCUUACCAAGGCUUUGACGGGUAGCCGGCCUGAGAGGGUGACCAGCCACAUUGGGACUGAGAUACGGCCCAGACUCCUACGGGAGGCAGCAGUGGGGAAUAUUGCACAAUGGGCGGAAGCCUGAUGCAGCAACGCCGCGUGCGGGAUGACGGCCUUCGGGUUGUAAACCGCUUUCGCCUGUGACGAAGCGUGAGUGACGGUAAUGGGUAAAGAAGCACCGGCUAACUACGUG